ACGGAAGGCAGCAGUGGGGAAUAUUGCACAAUGGGGGAAACCCUGAUGCAGCGACGCCGCGUGAGUGAAGAAGUAUUUCGGUAUGUAAAGCUCUAUCAGCAGGGAAGAAAAUGACGGUACCUGACUAAGAAGCCCCGGCUAACUACGUGCCAGCAGCCGCGGUAAUACGUAGGGGGCAAGCGUUAUCCGGAAUUACUGGGUGUAAAGGGUGCGCAGGUGGUAAGGCAAGUCAGGAGUGAAAUGCCGGGGCUCAACCCCGGAACUGCUCUUGAAACUGUUUAACUGGAGUGCAGGAGAGGUAAGCGGAAUUCCUAGUGUAGCGGUGAAAUGCGUAGAUAUUAGGAGGAACACCAGUGGCGAAGGCGGCUUACUGGACUGUAACUGACACUGAGGCACGAAAGCGUGGGGAGCAAACAGGAUUAGAUACCCUGGUA
rnacentral:rRNA from 2 species